AUACGGAGGGAGCGAGCGUUAAUCGGAAUUACUGGGCGUAAAGCGCGCGUAGGCGGCUUUGUAAGUCGGAUGUGAAAGCCCUGGGCUCAACCUGGGAGUGGCAUUCGAUACUGCAGAGCUAGAGUAUGGUAGAGGGAAGUGGAAUUUCCGGUGUAGCGGUGAAAUGCGUAGAUAUCGGAAGGAACACCAGUGGCGAAGGCGACUUCCUGGGCCAAUACUGACGCUGAGGUGCGAAAGCGUGGGGAGCAAACAGGAUUAGAAACCCCAGUAGUCC
rnacentral:rRNA from 1 species